UGGACUGCUCUGCAACUGCCACUGGGAAGGAAGUCCAGCCUUAUGGUUCAGGAGAUUUUGUGAUGAAUCAGUGGGUGUUCUCGUACAUGGAAUCUUCCAAAGCUAGGAAGCUGUAAACUGCACAGAGCCUGGAGGUUAAAAAUAACCUGCUUUUGGCUGGGGAGUGCCGACGUUGGGCAAGAAAAGCAAAUCUACUGUCAAGAUGCUGUUUCCAUGGAAACUGUCCAUAAAAGAAUCAGGAGUUGCUGAAA